rnacentral:rRNA from 1 species
UACAGAGGGGGCAAGCGUUGUUCGGAAUUACUGGGCGUAAAGGGCGCGUAGGCGGCCUUCUAAGUCGAACGUGAAAUCCCCGGGCUCAACCCGGGAACUGCGUCCGAUACUGGAAGGCUUGAAUCCGGGAGAGGGAUGCGGAAUUCCUGGUGUAGCGGUGAAAUGCGUAGAUAUCAGGAGGAACACCUGCGGUGUAGACGGCUUACUGGACCGUCACUGACGCUGAGGCACGAAAGCGUGGGUAGCAAACAGG